ACCCCUUACCAUUCCGAACAGGGAAGUUAAGACCGUUUGCGCCGAUGGUACUGCUAUACCAAGUGGGAGAGUAGGUAGCCGCCUUCC
rnacentral:rRNA from 1 species